rnacentral:rRNA from 1 species
AGCAGCCGCGGUAAUUCCAGCUCCAAUAGCGUAUAUUAAAGUUGUUGCAGUUAAAAAGCUCGUAGUUGAAUUUCGGGAUCAGUAAGCCGGUCGUACCUUCGGUAUGUACUGGUGUCACUGAUUCCUCCCUUCUGAUGAACCGUUAUACCAUUUAGUUGGUGUGGCGGGGAAUCAGGACUGUUACUUUGAAAAAAUUAGAGUGUUUAAAGCAAGCUCGCGCUUGAAUACAUUAGCAUGGAAUAAUAAAAUAGGACGUUUGAUCUCCUAUUUUGUUGGUUUCUAGGAUCGACGUAAUGAUUAAUAGGGAUAGUUGGGGGCAUUAGUAUUCAAUUGUCAGAGGUGAAAUUCUUGGAUUUAUUGAAGACUAACUACUGCGAAAGCAUUUGCCAAGGAUGUUUUCAUUAAUCAAGAACGAAAGUUAGGGGAUCGAAGACGAUC